UAAUACGGGGGGAGCAAGCGUUGUUCGGAUUUACUGGGCGUAAAGGGCGCGUAGGCGGCCACCGCAAGUCGACUGUGAAAUCUCCGGGCUUAACCCGGAAAGGUCAGCCGAUACUGCGGGGCUAGAGUGCAGAAGGGGCAACUGGAAUUCUCGGUGUAGCGGUGAAAUGCGUAGAUAUCGAGAGGAACACCUGCGGCGAAGGCGGGUUGCUGGGCUGACACUGACGCUGAGGCGCGAAAGCUAGGGGAGCGAACGGGAUUAGAUACCCCG
rnacentral:rRNA from 1 species